CUACGGGGCGCAGCAGUGGGGAAUAUUGCACAAUGGGCGCAAGCCUGAUGCAGCCAUGCCGCGUGUAUGAAGAAGGCCUUCGGGUUGUAAAGUACUUUCAGCGGGGAGGAAGGGAGUAAAGUUAAUACCUUUGCUCAUUGACGUUACCCGCAGAAGAAGCACCGGCUAACUCCGUGCCAGCAGCCGCGGUAAUACGGAGGGUGCAAGCGUUAAUCGGCAUUACUGGGCGUAAAGCGCACGCAGGCGGUUUGUUAAGUCAGAUGUGAAAUCCCCGGGCUCAACCUGGGAACUGCAUCUGAUACUGGCAAGCUUGAGUCUCGUAGAGGGGGGUAGAAUUCCAGGUGUAGCGGUGAAAUGCGUAGAGAUCUGGAGGAAUACCGGUGGCGAAGGCGGCCCCCUGGACGAAGACUGACGCUCAGGUGCGAAAGCGUGGGGAGCAAACAGGAUUAGAUACCCCUGUAGUC
rnacentral:rRNA from 1 species